CAAAAUCACAACAACUUAAGCAAUGCUAAUAUUCUUAUAUUACGCAUAACAACAAAAUACACUUUAUCAGUCGCAGACAAUUUGUUCACAUUAAAGGGUGGUGCAAGAUAGACGCGUUGUCAAUGAAUCGUUGAGUCGUCCACGGGCGUUCGCAGUUCUAUGGAUGGGAAAAUAAACGCCACGAUUGGUCGUGUAAUAAAAUAUCAUGCUGCUGAUCAAACCGUGGUGGAGUGCCUUUUUAAGAAGAGGAAAAGGUGGG